GGAUGACCCGCGUCGCAUUAGCUAGUUGGUGAGGAUACGGCUCACCAGGCAACGAUGCGUAGCCGACCUGAGAGGGUGAUGGCCACACUGGGACUGAACACGGCCCAGACUCCUACGGGAGGCAGCAGUAGGGAAUCUUCCGCAAUGGAGAAAGUCUGACGGAGCAACGCCGCGUGAGUGAUGAAGGCUUUCGGGUCGUAAAACUCUGUUGUUAGGGAAGAACAAGUGCUAGUUGAAUAAGCUGGCACCUUGACGGUACCUAACCAGAAAGCCACGGCUAACUACGUGCCAGCAGCCGCGGUAAUACGUAGGUGGCAAGCGUUAUCCCGGAAUUAUUGGGCGUAAAGCGCGCGAGGUGGUCUUAAGUCUGAUGUGAGCCCACGGCACAACCGUGGAGGUCAUUGGAAACUGGGAGACUUGAGUGCAGAAGAGGAAAGUGGAAUUCCAUGUGUAGCGGUGAAUGCGUAAGAUAUGGAGGAACACCAGUGGCGAAGGCGACUUUCUGGUCUGUAACUGACACUGAGGCGCGAAAGCGUGGGGAGCAAACAGGAUAUUAUACCCUGGUAGUCCACGCCGUAAACGAUGAGUGCUAAGUGUUAGAGGGUUUCCGCCCUUUAGUGCUGAAGUUAACGCAUUAAGCACUCCGCCUGGGGAGUACGGCCGCAAGGCUGAAACUCAAAGGAAUUGACGGGGGCCCGCACAAGCGGUGGAGCAUGUGGUUUAAUUCGAAGCAACGCGAAGAACCUUACCAGGUCUUGACAUCCUCUGACAACCCUAGAGAUAGGGCUUCCCCUUCGGGGGCAGAGUGACAG
rnacentral:rRNA from 1 species